ACGCUCGACACCUACGAGGCAGCAGUGGGGAAUAUUGCACAAUGGAGGAAACUCUGAUGCAGCGACGCCGCGUGAGCGAAGAAGUAUUUCGGUAUGUAAAGCUCUAUCAGCAGGGAAGAAAAAGGACGGUACCUGACUAAGAAGCUCCGGCUAAAUACGUGUCAGCAGCCGCGGUAAUCUGAGCGGGCUGGCAAGGC
rnacentral:rRNA from 1 species